rnacentral:rRNA from 1 species
AUGGGGUUCUCGGCUUUUGUUCUUUGGUGGCGGUCAGUGCAGGUCUAUGUCGCCGUUGGGGGCAGCGCUACUGCUCAGGUGCUUCUCUUUGUGUUGGGUUUUGCGCGUAAGUUCGACAUCCCACCAUGGGUAAGAUUAUGCAUAUGGUUGGCGUUCCUAUCCAGCGACGCUCUCGUGAUAUAUGCCCUCGCCGCGCUCUUGAACCGCCCGACGCUGCAGAAGGAUUUCCCUGCGCACGACAUUGGCAACCAUGACCUGCAGGUGUUUUGGGCACCAAUCCUGCUGAUUUACCUCAGCGGCCAGCCAAUGAUGACGGCCUACAACAUCGAAGACAACGAGCUGUGGGGCCGAACCCUCUAA